rnacentral:lncRNA from 1 species
ACCGUUGCUGCCACCUUGCAAAAUCGGCCUCACCCGACCAAGCGAUUUCUGGCACCUUUCUGCCUCCAGGACCCAUUUCUGAGGUUAAAAGGCUCCUCUGUUCUAUUUCUCCUAAAUUGGAAAUUGGAUCCAGAGUCUUGAUCAUCUUCAAGCUUGAUCCCUUUGGCAACACAGUAGGUAUUAUU